rnacentral:tRNA from 1 species
GCGGAGAUGGCUUAGCUUGGUAUAGCGCACGGCUGAUAACCGUGAGGUCGGGGGAUCGAAGCCCCCUCCCCGCACCA